rnacentral:rRNA from 1 species
UACGUAGGCAGCGAGCGUUGUUCGGAGUUACUGGGCGUAAAGGGUGUGUAGGCGGUUGUUUUAAGUUUGGUGUGAAAUCUCCCGGCUCAACUGGGAGGGUGCGCCGAAUACUGAAUGACUUCGAGUACGGGAGAGGUGAGUGGAAUUCCUGGUGUAGCGGUGAAAUGCGCAGAUAUCAGGAAGAACACCCGUGGCGAAGGCGGCUCUCUGGGACGGUACUGACGCUGAGACGCGAAAGCGUGGGGAGCAAACAGG